rnacentral:rRNA from 1 species
AACGCGAAGAACCUUACCAGGGCUUGACAUGUCAGGAACUUUUCGGAAACGAGAAGGUGCCCGCAAGGGACCUGUGUAGAGGUGCUGCAUGGCUGUCGUCAGCUCGUGCCGUGAGGUGUUGGGUUAAGUCCCGCAACGAGCGCAACCCUUACUCAUAGUUGCUACCCGCAAGGGAGAACUCUAUGAGGACUGCUCCGGAUAACGGAGAGGAAGGUGGGGAUGAGGUCAAGUCAGCAUGGCCUUUAUGUCCAGGGCUACACACGUGUUACAAUGCGCGCCACAAAGCGUCGCGAACCCGCGAGGGGGAGCUAAUCGCAAAAAAGCGCGCUCAGUUCGGAUUGCAGUCUGCAACUCGACUGCAUGAAGCCGGAAUCGCUAGUAAUGGCGCAUCAGAACGGCGCCGUGAAUACGUUCCCGGGCCUUGUACACACCGACUGUAC